UACUGUCAAGUGCUUUCCCAGGCUGGCUUU
rnacentral:piRNA from 1 species